CCCUUAGAUGUUCUGGGCUGCACGCGCGCUACACUGAAGCGUUCAACGAGUAUUCACCUUGCCCGGGAGGGUCGGGUAAUCUUUUGAAAACGCUUCGUGAUGGGGAUAGAUUAUUGCAAUUAUUAAUCUUCAACGAGGAAUUCCUAGUAAGCGCGGGUCAUCAUCCCGCGCUGAAUACGUCCCUGCCCUUUGUACACACCGCCCGUCGCUCCUACCGAUUGAGUGGUCCGGUGAGGCUUUGGGAUCUGAGCGGAAAGAGCGUUUCGCUGUUUCUGCUCGGAAAACUCAGUCGAACCUUAUCAUUUAGAGGAAGGAGAAGUCGUAACA
rnacentral:rRNA from 1 species